rnacentral:rRNA from 1 species
CCUACGGGUGGCUGCAGUGGGGAAUAUUGCACAAUGGGGGAAACCCUGAUGCAGCAACGCCGCGUGAAGGAAGACGGUUUUCGGAUUGUAAACUUCUGUUCUUAGUGAAGAAGAAUGACGGUAGCUAAGGAGCAAGCCACGGCUAACUACGUGCCAGCAGCCGCGGUAAUACGUAGGUGGCAAGCGUUGUCCGGAAUUACUGGGUGUAAAGGGAGCGCAGGCGGGAAGCCAAGUCAGCUGUGAAAACUACGGGCUUAACUUGUAGACUGCAGUUGAAACUGGUUUUCUUGAGUGAAGUAGAGGUUGGCGGAAGUCCGAGUGUAGCGGUGAAAUGCGUAGAUAUUAGGAGGAACACCAGUGGCGAAGGCGGCCUGCUGGACGACAACUGACGGUGAGGCGCGAAAGCGUGGGGAGCAAACAGGAUUAGAUACCCUGGUAGUC